rnacentral:rRNA from 1 species
GACGAACGCUGGCGGCGUGCCUAAUACAUGCAAGUAGAACGCUGAAGGAGGAGCUUGCUUCUCUGGAUGAGUUGCGAACGGGUGAGUAACGCGUAGGUAACCUGCCUGGUAGCGGGGGAUAACUAUUGGAAACGAUAGCUAAUACCGCAUAAGAGUAGAUGUUGCAUGACAUUUACUUAAAAGGUGCAAUUGCAUCACUACCAGAUGGACCUGCGUUGUAUUAGCUAGUUGGUGAGGUAACGGCUCACCAAGGCAACGAUACAUAGCCGACCUGAGAGGGUGAUCGGCCACACUGGGACUGAGACACGGCCCAGACUCCUACGGGAGGCAGCAGUAGGGAAUCUUCGGCAAUGGACGGAAGUCUGGCCGAGCAACGCCGCGUGAGUGAAGAAGGUUUUCGGAUCGUAAAGCUCUGUUGUAAGAGAAGAACGAGUGUGAGAGUGGAAAGUUCACACUGUGACGGUAUCUUACCAGAAAGGGACGGCUAACUACGUG